rnacentral:rRNA from 1 species
CAGUCGCCACGGGAAUACGUAGGGUGCAAGCGUUAAUCGGAAUUACUGGGCGUAAAGCGUGCGCAGGCGGUCCGCUAAGACAGAUGUGAAAUCCCCGGGCUUAACCUGGGAACUGCAUUUGUGACUGGCGGGCUAGAGUAUGGCAGAGGGGGGUAGAAUUCCACGUGUAGCAGUGAAAUGCGUAGAGAUGUGGAGGAAUACCGAUGGCGAAGGCAGCCCCCUGGGCCAAUACUGACGCUCAUGCACGAAAGCGUGGGGAGCAAACAGGAUUAGAUACCCGCGUAGUCCCUGUCUCUUAUAC